AUUCUUUGGGGGGGGUCAUGAGAAUAAUUAUUAGGUGUUCACCACUAUGUAACAUAUGCCUCCCACAAACCUUGCUACAACCACACUGGCAUAUUAUCCAUCUAUCG